rnacentral:rRNA from 1 species
UACAGAGGGUGCGAGCGUUAAUCGGAAUUACUGGGCGUAAAGCGCACGUAGGUGGUGACGUAAGUCGGGUGUGAAAGCCCCGGGCUCAACCUGGGAAUUGCAUUCGAGACUGCAUUGCUGGAGUACGGAAGAGGAGGGCGGAAUUCCCGGUGUAGCGGUGAAAUGCGUAGAUAUCGGGAGGAACAUCAGUGGAGAAGGCGGCCCUCUGGUCCAGUACUGACACUCAAGUGCGAAAGUGUGGAGAGCAAACAGG